rnacentral:siRNA from 1 species
GGAGGGUUCGAUUGAGUUUCCGC